AGUGAACGCUGGCGGUAGGCCUAACACAUGCAAGUCGAACGGCAGCACAGUAAGAGCUUGCUCUUACGGGUGGCGAGUGGCGGACGGGUGAGGAAUACAUCGGAAUCUACUUUUUCGUGGGGGAUAACGUAGGGAAACUUACGCUAAUACCGCAUACGACCUACGGGUGAAAGCAGGGGAUCUUCGGACCUUGCGCGAUUGAAUGAGCCGAUGUCGGAUUAGCUAGUUGGCGGGGUAAAGGCCCACCAAGGCGACGAUCCGUAGCUGGUCUGAGAGGAUGAUCGGCCACACUGGAACUGAGACACGGUCCAGACUCCUACGGGAGGCAGCAGUGGGGAAUAUUGGACAAUGGGCGCAAGCCUGAUCCAGCCAUACCGCGUGGGUGAAGAAGGCCUUCGGGUUGUAAAGCCCUUUUGUAGGGAAAGAAAAGCAGCAGGUUAAUACCCCGCUGUUCUGACGGUACCCAAAGAAUAAGCACCGGCUAACUUCGUG
rnacentral:rRNA from 1 species